rnacentral:rRNA from 1 species
UCGAGAAUUUUUCACAAUGGGCGAAAGCCUGAUGGAGCGACGCCGCGUGGGGGAUGAAUGGCUUCGGCCCGUAAACCCCUGUCAUUCGCGAGCAAACGUAUUAUUUAAAGGAUGAUAGCCUGAUAGUAGCGAAAGAGGAAGGGACGGCUAACUCUGUGCCAGCAGCCGCGGUAAUACAGAGGUCCCAAGCGUUGUUCGGAUUUACUGGGCGUAAAGGGUGCGUAGGUGGUGGGGUAAGUCGGAUGUGAAAUCUCCGAGCUCAACUCGGAAAUUGCAUUGGAAACUACCCUGCUCGAGGGUUGGAGGGGGGACUGGAAUACUUGGUGUAGCAGUGAAAUGCGUAGAUAUCAAGUGGAACACCAGUGGCGAAGGCGAGUCCCUGGACAACUCCUGACACUGAGGCACGAAAGUUAGGGGAGCAAACAG